UAGAGUAACUUAUGGUGCACUUGCCCCGAUGGGGUUCUCUGGGCGAGUGUAUCCUCCCAUGCCAAUGCAACUACAUCACAUGUGUGAACAUUCACCAUUACUUUAAUUUGUUCAUGUACUUGAGGGGAUCCACGUAAACUGUCGUUCUUUUAAAUACUGCUUAGUAGUUGUUAGUACCGUGUGUUCAUGCACCUUGUUACUCC
rnacentral:lncRNA from 1 species